rnacentral:rRNA from 1 species
GGUGUUUAAGCAGGUAGGUUGAGCUAUAGGCAAAUCCGUAGCUCUAAAAGCUGAGAUGUGAUGACGAGUGACCAGCAAUAGUCGCGAAGUGAUUGAUCCUACACUGUCGAGAAAAGCUUCUAGGUAGAGACACAUCGCCCGUACCAAAACCGACACAGGUAGGCGGGGAGAGAAUCCUAAGGUGCGCGGGAAAACCCUCGUUAAGGAACUCGGCAAAAUGCCUCCGUAACUUCGGGAAAAGGAGGACUCAUGUAGUGUGAAGAGCAGAAGCGCUUGGAGCAUGAAUGAGUGGCGCAAGAGAGGCGCAAGCGACUGUUUACCACAAACACAGGUGCCUGCUAAAGCGAAAGCUGAUGUAUAGGUGCUGACACCUGCCCGGUGCUGGAAGGUUAAGAGGAGGGGUUAGACUUCGGUCGAAGCUCUGAAUUGAAGCCCCAGUAAACGGCGGCCGUAACAAUAACGGUCCUAAGGUAGCGAAAUUCCUUGUCGGGUAAGUUCCGACCCGCACGAAAGGUGUAACGACUUGCGCACUGUCUCAACGAGGGACCCGGUGAAAUUGAAGUACCUGUGAAGAUGCAGGUUACCCGCGACUGGACAGAAAGACCCCAUGGAGCUUUACUGCAACCUAAGAUUGAACUUAGUUAAUGAAUGUACAGGAUAGGUGGGAGACGGAGAACCUAGGACGCCAGUUUUAGGGGAGUCGCUGUUGGGAUACCACCCUUCCAUUAAUUGAUUUCUAACGGGCCGAGUAACGACCGGCCGGACAGUCUUAGGCGGGCAGUUUGACUGGGGCGGUCGCCUCCAAAAGAGUAACGGAGGCGCCCAAAGGUUCCCUCAGAGCGGACGGAAAUCGCUCGAAGAGUGUAAAGGCAGAAGGGAGCUUGACUGCGAGACGGACAGGUCGAGCAGGGACGAAAGUCGGGCUUAGUGAUCCGGUGGUGCCGAGUGGAAGGGCCAUCGCUCAACGGAUAAAAGCUACCCUGGGGAUAACAGGCUAAUCUCUCCCAAGAGUCCAUAUCGACGGGGAGGUUUGGCACCUCGAUGUCGGCUCAUCACAUCCUGGGGCUGAAGUAGGUCCCAAGGGUUCGGCUGUUCGCCGAUUAAAGUGGUACGUGAGCUGGGUUCAGAACGUCGUGAGACAGUUCGGUCCCUAUCCAUCGCGGGCGUAAGAAACUUGAAGGGGGCUGCUCCUAGUACGAGAGGACCGGAGUGGACGAACCGCUGGUGUACCAAUUAUCCUGCCAAGGGUACAGUUGGGUAGCUACGUUCGGGACGGAUAAACGCUGAAAGCAUCUAAGCGUGAAACCAGCCUUGAGAUGAGGUUUCUCAUAGCGUAAGCUAGUAAGAUCCCAUGUAGACGACAUGGUAGAUAGGCCAGGUGUGGAAGAGCCGUGAGGUUUGGAGCUGACUGGUACUAAUCGAUCGAGGGCUUUACUG